AAUCUCGAGAAGUGUUUUCCGCGUUGGCCUGUGUACAAGUCCCUUGGAACAGGGCGUCAUAGAGGGUGAGAAUCCCGUCCUUGACACAGACACCCAAUGCUUUGUGAUACACUCUCAAUGAGUCGAGUUGUUUGGGAAUGCAGCUCAAAAUGGGUGGUAAAUUCCAUCUAAAGCUAAAUACUGGCGAGAGACCGAUAGCGAACAAGUACCGUGAGGGAAAGAUGAAAAGCACUUUGGAAAGAGAGUCAAACAGUACGUGAAAUUGUUGAAAGGGAAACGAUUGAAGUCAGUCGUGCCUGCCUAGAUUCAGCCUUCUGGUGUAUUUCUAGGUCGGCAGGUCAGCAUCAGUUUGGGGGGGUUAACAAGGGAGCUGGGAAUGUGGCAACCUCGGUUGUGUUAUAGCCCAGUUUCGCAUUGAUCUCGCUGGACUGAGGAACGCAGUGCGCCCGCAAGGGUUGGUCUUCGGACACAUUCGCACUUAGGAUGCUGGCAUAAUGGCUUUAAACGACCCGUCUUGAAACACGG
rnacentral:rRNA from 1 species